GUGGGGAAUUUUGGACAAUGGGGGAAACCCUGAUCCAGCCAUGCCGCGUGAGUGAAGAAGGCCUUCGGGUUGUAAAGCUCUUUCAGCCGGAACGAAACGGUCACGGCUAAUACCUGUGACCACUGACGGUACCGGAAGAAGAAGCACCGGCUAACUACGUGCCAGCAGCCGCGGUAAUACGUAGGGUGCAAGCGUUAAUCGGAAUUACUGGGCGUAAAGCGUGCGCAGGCGGUUUUGUAAGUCAGAUGUGAAAUCCCCGGGCUUAACCUGGGAACUGCGUUUGAAACUACAAGGCUAGAGUGUAGCAGAGGGGGGUGGAAUUCCACGUGUAGCAGUGAAAUGCGUAGAGAUGUGGAGGAACACCGAUGGCGAAGGCAGCCCCCUGGGUUAACACUGACGCUCAGGCACGAAAGCGUGGGGAGCAAACAGG
rnacentral:rRNA from 1 species